UUAAAUUGAAGAGUUUGAUCAUGGCUCAGAUUGAACGCUGGCGGCAGGCCUAACACAUGCAAGUCGAACGGUAACAGGAAGCAGCUUGCUGCUUUGCUGACGAGUGGCGGACGGGUGAGUAAUGUCUGGGAAACUGCCUGAUGGAGGGGGAUAACUACUGGAAACGGUGGCUAAUACCGCAUAACGUCGCAAGACCAAAGAGGGGGACCUUCGGGCCUCUUGCCAUCAGAUGUGCCCAGAUGGGAUUAGCUAGUUGGUGAGGUAACGGCUCACCAAGGCGACGAUCCCUAGCUGGUCUGAGAGGAUGACCAGCCACACUGGAACUGAGACACGGUCCAGACUCCUACGGGAGGCAGCAGUGGGGAAUAUUGCACAAUGGGCGCAAGCCUGAUGCAGCCAUGCCGCGUGUAUGAAGAAGGCCUUC
rnacentral:rRNA from 1 species